GGGGUUUUGCCAAGUUGCCCAGGCUGGUCUCAAACUCCUGAGCUCAAGGAAUCCCUCCCUCCCUGCCUCGGCCUCCUAAAGUGCUGGGAUUACAGGCAUGAGCCACUGUGCCUGGCCAAGAGUGUGAAGUUUCUUUCACUCAUCUAUAACCCCCCUGCAUACGGUGGUAGAUGACUUGAUGGCUACUUUUUUUAAGAGCUCCGGAAGUCCAACCCAAACAGUACCAAUCUAUCCUUCCAUCCAUUCACUUAACACAGCAGGUGCUGUGAGUGCCGAAUUGGGACCGUGAUCUCCAAGUCUGGAAUUGGAGGAAAGAGGGAUAAGCUGUCAAGAUACCAGACUGUCACCUGCCAAGCUGCUCAGCAGCUUCCCUCCACCUGCCUCUCUCACAGGAGCCUGCAUGGGAAGGGGAAGGGGAAGGGAAAAGACGAUGGGAGAGGGAGGGGCCCUGGGUUGGUGGCCCCCUCCCUUUCAGCACUGAAACUACUGAAUCCUGUGUGGCUGUCUCUGAGAGACUGAAGAGAGGAAUAGAAUAAUGUGAGAAAGGGACAGAGAAGCGCUUCUGCAUCAGGGAGCGGAAAGAACAAACCAUAAGAGAAAGGUUUGGGCUCUUAGCCCUGCCACUUAGCAUCUGUGGAACUCCAGCAAGACAGUUCUCCUCUCUGAAUCACUCCCCUUAUCUGAGGAGGGGUAUGUCCAUCCUUGACUGUAAUAACAGGCUGCCCUAUGCACCAAGCAGAGUUCUGAGAGCUAUGGUAUUUUUCAUUCAUUUAACCCCCACAACACCCAAGAAAUAAAUAUUAUUAUCAUCAAUGCCAGCAGAAACUAAGGUACAGAGAAGUGAUGUAGCAUGUCCUGUCAAACAGCUGGUAAGUGGCAGAGCUGGGAUUUGAACCCAGGCUCCGGAGUCCAGGCUCUUAACCACUGCUUGUACAGCCUCUUGCUCUCUGCACAAGGAA
rnacentral:lncRNA from 1 species